GACGUAGGGCGCGAGCGUUGUCCGGAUUUAUUGGGCGUAAAGAGCUCGUAGGCGGCUCGUUGCGUCGGCUGUGAAAACCCGCAGCUCAACUGUGGGCUUGCAGCUGAUACGGGCGGGCUGGGAUUCGGUAGGGGAGACUGGAAUUCCUGGUGUAGCGGUGAAAUGCGCAGAUAUCAGGAGGAACACCGGUGGCGAAGGCGGUUCUCUGGGCCUUACCUGACACUGAGGAGCGAAAGCGUGGGGAGCGAACAGG
rnacentral:rRNA from 1 species